rnacentral:lncRNA from 1 species
AUGGUAAGGUUCUGGAUCCACUCCCGUGCUGCCCACAGGUCCAGAGGCCCACAGGUCCAGCCUAUAUGUGACUGUAACCCUGAUAUGGUAAGGUUCUGGAUCCACUCCCGUGCUGCCCACAGGUCCAGAGGCCCACAGGUCCAGCCUAUAUGUGACUGUAACCCUGAUAUGGUAAGGUGAGUGAUGGGGUGCUCCUGGAAGUGGGUUAUGAGUAAAUUGUAGGUUGAUGUGGGCACUUGGCCAAUGCAAGUCAAAACAGACAGUGUGACCCAAUUAAAGGCACUUCCGGUUGGCACAGGAAGCUAUACGUAAACACAUAUCUUGCUUGGGGUAUUCUCUUACAGAAUCCUGAGUUUAAAGUCUUUAUGUUAAAAAUUGACUGAUCUAGACAGGGUUGAAUGCAGUCAUUUUCACAUUUUCAGGUUAUGUACAUCAAACUACCUUUUGGGUGAAUUUAACCACUUCCGGAUGCUCCAGGAUGCUUAGAUUCGACACAGGUAGACCUCAUAGUGGUCUGAUGGACUGUCAUAGAAGACAGGUUCAUAAGGCAUUCAUAACCCACAUAGGCUUCAGGUUGAAUUUAGAGGUGCAGGCAAUGUAUUCCUAUGGGGAGAGAAGUCAAUGCAAACUGUUUGAAGUAAACACCUUCUUUUAACUGCUAAGGUUAAUGCCACACGGCCAAGGUUAGGCUUGCACGGAUCGGGAGGAC